rnacentral:rRNA from 1 species
UACAGAGGGUGCAAGCGUUAAUCGGAAUUACUGGGCGUAAAGCGUGCGUAGACGGUCAUGUAAGUCGGGUGUGAAAGCCCCGGGCUCAACCUGGGAAUUGCAUUCGAGACUGCAUGGCUAGGAUGCGGAAGAGGGAAGCGGAAUUUCCGGUGUAGCGGUGAAAUGCGUAGAUAUCGGAAGGAACAUCAGUGGCGAAAGCGGCUUCCUGGAUCAGUACCGACGUUCAGGCACGAAAGCGUGGGGAGCAAACAGG